GGUCCCACCUGACCCCAUGCCGAACUCAGAAGUGAAACGCCGUAGCGCCGAUGGUAGUGUGGGGCUUCCCCAUGUGAGAGUAGGGAACUGCCAGGC
rnacentral:rRNA from 1 species